rnacentral:rRNA from 1 species
GACGAACGCUGGCGGCGUGCUUAACACAUGCAAGUCGAACGGAGUGGCGAACGGGUGAGUAACACGUGGGUGACCUGCCCUGCACUUCGGGUUCAGCAUGGGUAACUGGGUCUAAUACCGGCCAGGGUGGGAUGGGCCCGCGGCCUAUCAGCUUGGCGGUGGGGUCAUGGCCUACCAAGGCGGCGACGGGCAGCCGGCCUGGGCGGGUGGUCGGCCCCAGUGGGACUGAGACGCGGCCCAGACGACUACGGGAGGGAGCAGUGGGGAAUGUUGCACAAUAGACGGAAGCGUGAUGCAGCGACGCCGCGUGGGGGAUGACAGCCAUCGGGUUGUAACCUCAAUUCACCAUCGACGCGGUAGAUGGAGAAGAAGCACCGGCUAACUACGUGCCAGCAGCCGCGGUAAUUC